AUUGAACGCAGGCGGCAGGCCUAACACAUGCAAGUCGAGCGGAUGAAGAGAGCUUGCUCUCUGAUUCAGCGGCGGACGGGUGAGUAAUGCCUAGGAAUCUGCCUGGUAGUGGGGGACAACGUUUCGAAAGGAACGCUAAUACCGCAUACGUCCUACGAGAGAAAGUGGGGGAUCUUCGGACCUCACGCUAUCAGAUGAGCCUAGGUACGAUUAGCUAGUUGGUGAGGUAAAGGCUCACCAAGGCGACGAUCGUUAACUGGUCUGAGAGGAUGAUCAGUCACACUGGAACUGAGACACGGUCCAGACUCCUACGGGAGGCAGCAGUGGGGAAUAUUGGACAAUGGGCGAAAGCCUGAUCCAGCCAUGCCGCGUGUGUGAAGAAGGUCUUCGGAUUGUAAAGCACUUUAAGUUGGGAGGAAGGGCAGUAAGUUAAUACCUUGCUGUUUUGACGUUACCGACAGAAUAAGCACCGGCUAACUUCGUGCCAGCCGCCGCUGUAACAC
rnacentral:rRNA from 1 species